GUUUCUUUUUAUAUCCUAGCUCCUUUACAAAGAAGUUACUUCUGAAAGAAGCAAAGAGCACAUUACGGUGAGAAGCAUGAAAUGGAUUUUCCUGAAACAUAAAAGCAAA
rnacentral:lncRNA from 1 species